rnacentral:rRNA from 1 species
CUCGUAGGCGGUUUGUUAAGUCGGAUGUGAAAGCCCCGGGCUCAACCUGUGAACUGCAUUCGAUACUGGCAAACUAGAGUAUAGAAGAGGCAAGUGGAAUUCCAGGUGUAGCGGUGAAAUGCGUAGAUAUCUGGAGGAACAUCAGUGGCGAAGGCGACUUGCUGGUCUAAUACUGACGCUGAGGAGCGAAAGCGUGGGGAGCAAACAGGAUUAGAUACCCUGGUAGUCC